UACGGAGGAUCCAAGCGUUGUCCGGAUUUAUUGGGUUUAAAGGGUGCGUAGGUGGAUAAUUAAGUCAGGGGUGAAAGCCUGCAGCUCAACUGUAGAACUGCCCUUGAAACUGAUUAUCUUGAAUUUGGUUGAGGUAGGCGGAAUGUGUCAUGUAGCGGUGAAAUGCUUAGAUAUGAUACAGAACACCAAUUGCGAAGGCAGCUAACUAUGCGAUGAUUGACGCUGAGGCACGAAAGCGUGGGGAGCAAACAGG
rnacentral:rRNA from 1 species